CCUACGGGUGGCAGCAGUAGGGAAUAUUGCUCAAUGGGGGAAACCCUGAAGCAGCAACGCCGCGUGAGGGAUGAAGGUUUUAGGAUUGUAAACUCCUUUUGUUCGAGGAGAUUAUGACGGUAUCUAACGAAUAAGCACCGGCUAACUCCGUGACAGCAGCCGCGGUACUACGGAGGGUGCAAGCGUUACUCGGAAUUACUGGGCGUAAAGAGUGCGUAGGCGGGGUAAUAAGUCAGAUGUGAAAGCCUGUAGCUUAACUACAGAACUGCAUUUGAAACUGUUACUCUGGAGUGUGGGAGAGGUAGGUGGAAUGCUUGGUGUAGGGGUGAAAUCCGUAGAGAUCAAGAAGAAUACUCAUUGCGAAGGCGACCUGCCGGAACAUUACUGACGCUGAGGCACGAAAGCGUGGGGAGCAAACAGGAUUAGAUACCCCUGUAGUC
rnacentral:rRNA from 1 species